rnacentral:rRNA from 1 species
CCUACGGGAGGCUGCAGUCGAGGAUCUUUGGCAAUGAGCGCAAGCUUGACCAAGCGACGCCGCGUGUGCGAUGAAGGCCUUCGGGUUGUAAAGCACUGUCGAGGGGGAGGAAAGCCCGCAAGGGCUUGACUGAUCCCUGGAGGAAGCACGGGCUAAGUUCGUGCCAGCAGCCGCGGUAAGACGAACCGUGCGAACGUUGUUCGGAAUCACUGGGCUUAAAGGGCGCGUAGGCGGCUUGCCAAGUCAGGGGUGAAAUCCCACAGCUUAACUGUGGAAGUGCCUUUGAUACUGGCGAGCUCGAGGGAGGUAGGGGUCUGUGGAACUUCUGGUGGAGCGGUGAAAUGCGUUGAUAUCAGAAGGAACGCCGGUGGCGAAAGCGACGGACUGGACCUCUUCUGACGCUGAGGCGCGAAAGCUAGGGGAGCAAACGGGAUUAGAUA